CCUCCGCACUGUAGACUGCGGUGAUUUAAAGGUGCCUGGCGGUGGUACGGGAUCCAACUGUAAAAUGUCAUCCCAGCUAGUGUGACAUCACCACAGUCUAGUGUGACACCCCCAGAGCUUGGGCAGUGUACGGGAAGACAGUGCCUAGCAGAGGAGCUUCACUGCCGGUGAGGGAUUACCUCAGGUUAGGCUUUAAUGUUUCGUUGCCGUCUAGAGACGUUCUAGCAAUGUGACAUCUGUGUACCAUAUCUGGAAGUCUCCCUGUACGUCAAGAGCCCCUUAGGGGAGUCUCCCAUUGCCGCCGUGGGAACCUGUGUUUACAUUACGAGGAGAGAGAAUAGCUGUACUCUGAACUCAAACGCUCAAAACGUGCAGUGAGCGAAUGCUAGCAUAAUUUUCUUGCCUCUACCAGAAGGAAGGCUGGGUAUUUAGGAAACAGAACGCGUUGGGCACAACAUUCUGAGAAAAUGGACACAGAAAAUUAGGUUAUCCUAAUAGAAAAGCAGUUGCGAUCUCCCAAAGUCAAGAGAUUCUGUAGGACUUCCGAUGUAUCUCCUGCUGUGUAAAAUAUUCAGAUUCCUGAAGUGGGGGACAUUUUUAGGGCAACUGUAAUUUCUUCAUUUUUUCCAUCCCACAAGUGCUGGAGUGAUCUGAGCUCUAGAAAGUGACUGUCCGUCACCAUCGGUAUUUGCAUAUACUCUGUGAGGAGAAGGGCAGAUGUGGCUAAGACAAAAUUCUACUAUCAAGUUUUGUUUCUCAAAUCUCACUCAUUAACAUCUUUGAUUUCCUUGGAUCCCCAUAACACACACAGAAAACUAUAAUUUGUGUAAAAUGCGCUGAAGUACCUUUUAAGGGAAGUCAUUUGGCUUUCUCUCUGGCUUAACAACACGGGGAGCAGUUCCAUUUUAUCUGGAACAGGGAAGUUUAUUUCCCUAGAGAACUAGGGUUACCAAAAAUGUUCGAUCCCACAAGGCAGUUUUGUUUGCAUAUUUUCACAGAAACUUCCUUCUACUACUUAAAGUCCUCACAUUGGGCUGACCUGGGAAACAUGAAGAUAAAAAGAGUGGGUAAACAUGCCUGCUUGAUGAGCCAGAAAAAAAGGCAGAAACCUGUGGUCUGGGUAGAACAGAUCCUGCUCAGAAUGUAUAAACCAGGAAAAGUUGUUCUGGCCCCUCAUCUGGUUUCAUGAAGGACAAUAUCUAGCAUGAGAGUGACAGGGGUUAGAAUAAUGGACAUUUUGGGGACUGGGUCCUAGCAGAAAUGAUGGAAUAAUGGAACAGGAGUUUGGAUGAAUGGGCAUAUUAUGGGAUUAAAGAAGAUUUGAAUACAAGCUUUCCUAAUAAAUGAAAGGGGAGGUGAAACUAGAGCAUGCUGAUGGCUGCACAGCAUUGUGAAUGCACUAAAUGCACUAACUGUCCACUUUAAAAUGUUUAGUAAUAUGUCGAUUUUACCUAAAUAAAAAAAAGGAAGCAA